CCUACGGGGCGCAGCAGUGGGGGAUAUUGCACAAUGGGGGAAACCCUGAUGCAGCGACGCCGCGUGGGCGAAGAAGUAUUUCGGUAUGUAAAGCCCUAUCAGCAGGGAAGAAGAAAUGACGGUACCUGAGUAAGAAGCACCGGCUAAAUACGUGCCAGCAGCCGCGGUAAUACGUAUGGUGCAAGCGUUAUCCGGAUUUACUGGGUGUAAAGGGAGCGCAGGCGGCACGGCAAGCCUGAUGUGAAAGCCCGCGGCCCAACCGCGGGACUGCAUUGGGAACUGUUUUGCUGGAGUAUGGGAGGGGG
rnacentral:rRNA from 1 species